AGCAGCCGCGGUAAUUCCAGCUCCAAUAGCGUAUAUUAAAGUUGUUGCAGUUAAAAAGCUCGUAGUUGAAUUUCGGGAUUGACACAUCGGUCGUGCCUUAAGGGGUAUGAACUGGUGUAGUCAAUUUCUCACCUUCUGGAGAACCACGAUGCCCUUAAUUGGGUGUCGCGGGGAACCAGGACCUUUACUUUGAAAAAAUUAGAGUGUUUAAAGCAGGCAUUUUGCUUGAAUACAUUAGCAUGGAAUAAUAAAAUAGGACGGCAUGAUUCUAUUUUGUUGGUUUCUAGGAUCACCGUAAUGAUUAAUAGGGAUAGUUGGGGGCAUUAGUAUUCAAUUGUCAGAGGUGAAAUUCUUGGAUUUAUUGAAGACUAACUACUGCGAAAGCAUUUGCCAAGGAUGUUUUCAUUAAUCAAGAACGAAAGUUAGGGGAUCGAAGACGAUCAGAUACCGUCGUAGUCUUAACCAUGAACUAUGCCGACUAGGGAUCGGAUGAUGUUAAUUUUUAAUGACUCAUUCGGCG
rnacentral:rRNA from 1 species